UACGGGGGGGCAAGCGUUGUUCGGAAUUACUGGGCGUAAAGGGCUCGUAGGCGGCCAACUAAGUCAGACGUGAAAUCCCUCGGCUUAACCGGGGAACUGCGUCUGAUACUGGAUGGCUUGAGUUCGGGAGAGGGAUGUGGAAUUCCAGGUGUAGCGGUGAAAUGCGUAGAUAUCUGGAGGAACACCGGUGGCGAAGGCGGCAUCCUGGACCGACACUGACGCUGAUGAGCGAAAGCCAGGGGAGCAAACGGGG
rnacentral:rRNA from 1 species